rnacentral:rRNA from 1 species
CGAACGCUGGCGGCGUGCUUAAUACAUGCAAGUCGAACGAGAAACCCUGACUUCGGUUGGGGGAGUAAAGUGGCGAACGGGUGAGUAACACGUGGAUAAUCUACCUCAAAGUCUGGGAUAAUCCUUCGAAAGGGGGUCUAAUACCGGAUAACAUUUUUUGGUGGCAUCACCGAAAAAUCAAAGGCGGGGCAACCUGCCGCCUUGAGAUGAGUCCGCGCUCCAUUAGCUUGUUGGUAGGGUAAAGGCCUACCAAGGCUGCGAUGGAUAGCCGGCCUGAGAGGGUGAACGGCCACACUGGGACUGAGAUACGGCCCAGACUCCUACGGGAGGCAGCAGUAGGGAAUAUUGCGCAAUGGACGAAAGUCUGACGCAGCAACGCCGCGUGGGUGAUGAAGCAUUUUGGUGUGUAAAACCCUGUUAGAGGGGAAGAACCGCAUGGGUAGUAACUGACCUGUGCCUGACGGUACCCUCAGAGAAAGCACCGGCUAACUCC